GGGGGGGGGGAAUACCGGGCUUUUCAGACAGAGGGAGAAGGAAGGAAAGAAAGAGAGACAUUUGUUGGUCCUUGCCACGUCCAUAUCAGUGGAUUUCUCCUGUCUGAGCAUCCUGACAAAGGGGCCUCUUCAAAUGAGAUCCAGGCAGGGUUGUCAUCUUUUAGCAAAUAUGUUAAGAGUUAUCUUUUGUGCUCUUGGCUUGCUGAGCGGAGCUGGACCCCAUGGGAGCCUGGCGCAUGCAAAUAGAACAAAUCCCUCUCGGACCUGUCUGUCUGUUUCGCUCUCUUCCAUCUCUCCACCUCCCCUCCCUGCUCCCCUUCUUUUCUCCGCGUUUGCUCGACAGUGCGUCAGCCUAUCUUGUCUCUUUGCUCUCUCAUCUAUUUCACUCUUUGUCCACUUAUUUCCUCCCUCUCUCUUCCUCUCUCUCCCUCGUUCUUCUCUCUCUCUGUCCCAGAAGACAGUGCUGGGGCUGUGUGUCAGCUAACUGUAGCGAGGCUGUGUAGUCUUUGUGUGUUUCCCUGCGUGCUAGCUGACAGCCCCCUCCUCGCUGAUCCAAGUUCCUCUUCUCAGAGACGGCAGGUAGCUGUCGGUAGGGCCGCUGCCUGUGUUUCUCCGUAGAUGAGUGGACGCCAAUUCCUUAAAAUCCUUGACACUGUGAUCCACUCUAUCCUCCUCUUCCUCUUUCUAUGUUUCCCCCUCCUCCCCUCUUUUCCCUGCUACACUGGCUGCAUCUUUUUUUUUUUCAUAGUUUCACAUGGGGGUUUUGUUUUUUGUGACUGACAGUUGCCGCUUGAUAAAUUUUAUUUUUUUUCCUCUUUUCCCUGUGUUGCGACUCAACCUUUUUUACACACUCUUCUGAUUCCUAUUCACUUUUCCUGGCAUCUCUCCUUCUCAGUACUGACUAGUUAUUAUCCAGUCAAAAUCUGAUGGGUGUUCUUAAGUGAAGGGAUAGCCACAUAAGACUGACUCAGUGGAGGAGUAAUACCUACAGCUUACUACCAAAGAUCUUGCUGUAACCUGUGAUGCUCAGUGCUAAGAUUGUGCUUUUACACUGCCAGACGUGGUUCAUCAGGUUUUGGUGCUAUUAUAAAACGGGAAAAAACAUGUAAGAAAAAGUUAGACGUUAAAAGAUGUGAAGUCAUGAAUU
ensembl:lncRNA